CUAAGUUAAUAUAUUUUGGUGUUUUCAGCAUAUUAAAAUUAAUUAUGUUGAUUAUAUUUAAAUGGGCAUAAUAGGCACAUUUUGUGUAUAGAUCAUACCCCUGUAGUCUCACUGCUCAGUUCUCUGCCAUUUAGGAGUCAAAUCACUUUUGUUUCUGUUUAUGCUACCCUAGCCACACCUCCCCUGGCUGUGACUGACACAGCCACCAUUAAAAAAGGUAGUUUAAACACUAAUGUCUUUUUACAGGAAGUGUUUAGGAAAACCGUGUAAGUCACAUGCAGGGAGUUGGGACUAGGGCUGCAUAAACAAACUGAUUUAACUCCUAAAUGGCAGAAGA